GCCAGGGUUGCGGAAUCUGGUUAACGCGCCGGUCUUGAAAACCGGUCCCUCACGGGAUUUAGGGUUCAAAUCCCUACCCUGGCG
rnacentral:tRNA from 1 species